CAUAAAGUAGCAAUACUUUGGUGGCGACCGGCGCACGGGUGAAUAACGCGUAUGCAACCUAUCUAUCAGAGGGGAAUAACCCGGCGAAAGUCGGACUAAUACCGCAUAAAACAGGGGCACCGCAUGGUGAUAUUUGUUAAAGAAAUUCGCUGAUAGAUGGGCAUGCGUUCCAUUAGGUAGUUGGUGAGGUAACGGCUCACCAAGCCGACGAUGGAUAGGGGAACUGAGAGGUUGGUCCCCCACACUGGUACUGAGACACGGACCAGACUCCUACGGGAGGCAGCAGUGAGGAAUAUUGGUCAAUGGGCGAGAGCCUGAACCAGCCAAGUCGCGUGAAGGAAGAAGGAUCUAUGGUUCGUAAACUUCUUUUGCAGGGGAAUAAAGUGCAGGACGUGUCCUGUUUUGUAUGUACCCUGAGAAUAAGGAUCGGCUAACUCCGUGCCAGCAGCCGCGGUAAUACGGAGGAUCCGAGCGUUAUCCGGAUUUAUUGGGUUUAAAGGGUGCGUAGGUGGUUUGAUAAGUCAGCGGUGAAAGUUUGCAGCUUAACUGUAAAAAUGCCGUUGAAACUGUCGGACUUGAGUGUAAAUGAGGUAGGCGGAAUGCGUGGUGUAGCGGUGAAAUGCUUAGAUAUCACGAAGAACUCCGAUUG
rnacentral:rRNA from 1 species